UAGUUGUCCUCAGUGUGGUCCGGCCAAGAU
rnacentral:piRNA from 1 species